UUUCUUGAAGAAAAAAGUUUUUUAACAAAAAGUUGUUACGCCUUUUAAGGUCUGUGUCCAUGAUGCUAGAACUCGGUCCGAGAACUCGGAUCGAGUUUUUGUUACUAAUUUUUUCGACUCGAAUAAUUACAAAUGGCAAUAUAUUUCAAUUUAUGAAAUUAACUGUAGUCAGGCAUGCCAAUAUUAAAGUAUUGAACUUGAUAAGAUUUGAUUAUGUAUCGAUUGUGUAUAUUUAUAUUAUUUAUAUUUUUUUCAUAUAAUGUGUAAAUUAAAAAAAUUGAUAGCUAUUGCUUUAAUAGCCGAAGCUGUAGAAAAUAAAGAAACAGAAGAAUUAAUUAAACAUCGAAUCGACAACGAAUUGAUCGAUGUCGAUCAAUUUGGACUCGAAAUGGAUUCUUCGGAGAAAUUUUUAAUUACAAGGCAUACUUAACCUUGCACAAGUAGAAUUAAGAAGAGAAGAUAAUAUAUUUGAAAGAUAAUAUGUUUUGAAAAGUUUUUUAGGAUGCGAAAUGAUUUAUUUGAUCGUCUUGUGGAAAUGAUAACACCAUACAUACAACGUCAAAAUAUUAAUAUGAGGGAAUGUAUAAGUCCUAAAGAACGGUUAUCACUCACUUUGAAAUUUUUGGCUACGGGCGAAAGUUGUAGAAGUCUAGAAUAUUCAACAAGAAUCCCAAACUUGUAUAAUUUCUCGCAUUAUUCCUGAAACUUGCCGUGUUUUAUAUGAAAUUCUUCGAAAACAUUAUUUAUAGACAUGGAAUGUCCCAAACUGUAUUGCUUCUAUGGAUGGAAAAUGCUCAAUUACAUAAUUUAGAAAUAAUAAAUGCAAGACCUAGCAAAAA